UCCCUGCUACCUGGGCAAAGGGGGGCCUCUGACUGUGGCCCCUUCUUACAUCUAGCAGGGGGAAAGCAACUUUUUCCUUAUUCAUCCCAGCACGGCGUCUCUCCCAGUGGCUGAUGACUGGUUCAUGCUGGGGAAACAAGG